GCCAGCAUGGUGUAGUGGUUUGAGUGUUGGACUAUGACUCUGAGGGCCAGGGUUCAAAUACCUGUUCAUCCA